rnacentral:tRNA from 1 species
UGGGGGUAGAGGGAUUUGAACCCUCACGGUCAAUAAAGCCAACGGAUUUUCUAAGUCCGUAGCGUCUACCAAUUCCGCCAUACCCCC